rnacentral:hammerhead_ribozyme from 1 species
AUCCAGAUGACGAGUUCCAAGCAGGAUGAAAUGUGCAUCCUGGAU